UGCAAGUCGAGCGAGAAGGGUGUAGCAAUACACUUGUAAAGCGGCGAACGGGUGAGGAAUGCAUGGGUAACCUACCCUCGAGUGGGGAAUAACUAGCCGAAAGGUUAGCUAAUACCGCAUACGUUUCCGGAACUUCGGUUUCGGAAAGAAAGCAAUACCGUGGGUAUUGCGCUCCUGGAUGGGCUCAUGUCCUAUCAGCUUGUUGGUGAGGUAAACGGCUCACCCAAGGCUUCGACGGGUAGCUGGUCUGAGAGGACGAUCAGCCACACUGGCACUGCGACACGGGCCAGACUCCUACGGGAGGCAGCAGUAAGGAAUAUUGCGCAAUGGACGAAAGUCUGACGCAGCGACGCCGCGUGGGGGAUGAAGGUCUUCGGAUUGUAAACCCCUUUCGGGAGGGAAGAUGGAGUGGGUAACCACUUGGACGGUACCUCCAGAAGCAGCCACGGCUAACUUCGUG
rnacentral:rRNA from 1 species